rnacentral:rRNA from 1 species
AAAUUGAAGAGUUUGAUCAUGGCUCAGAUUGAACGCUGGCGGCAGGCCUAACACAUGCAAGUCGAACGGUAACAGUAAGAAGCUUGCUUCUUUGCUGACGAGUGGCGGACGGGUGAGUAAUGUCUGGGAAACUGCCUGAUGGAGGGGGAUAACUACUGGAAACGGUAGCUAAUACCGCAUAACGUCGCAAGACCAAAGAGGGGGACCUUCGGGCCUCUUGCCAUCGGAUGUGCCCAGAUGGGAUUAGCUUGUUGGUGGGGUA